AGUGAACGCUGGCGGUAGGCCUAACACAUGCAAGUCGAACGGCAGCACAGUAAGAGCUUGCUCUUACGGGUGGCGAGUGGCGGACGGGUGAGGAAUACAUCGGAAUCUACUUUUUCGUGGGGGAUAACGUAGGGAAACUUACGCUAAUACCGCAUACGACCUACGGGUGAAAGCAGUGGAUCUUCGGACCUUGCGCGAUUGAAUGAGCCGAUGUCGGAUUAGCUAGUUGGCGGGGUAAUGGCCCACCAAGGCGCCGAUCCGUAGCUGGUCUGAGAGGAGGAUCAGCGACACUGGAACUGAGACACGGUCCAGACUCCUACGGGAGGCAGCAGUGGGGAAUAUUGGACAAUGGGCGCAAGCCUGAUCCAGCCAUACCGCGUGGGUGAAGAAGGCCUUCGGGUUGUAAAGCCCUUUUGUUGGGAAAGAAAAGCAGCAGGUUAAUACCCCGCUGUUCUGACGGUACCCAAAGAAUAAGCACCGGCUAACUUCGUG
rnacentral:rRNA from 1 species